rnacentral:tRNA from 1 species
GAUCCACUAGCUCAGACGGUAGAGCACUUGACUUUUAAUCAAGGGGCCCGGGGUUCGAGUCCCCGGUGGAUCACCA